GGUCGCAUGGCCUAAUGGAUAAGGCGCUCGCCUCCGGAGCGGGAUAUUCUGGGUUCUAGUCGCAGUGUGAUCG
rnacentral:tRNA from 1 species